rnacentral:rRNA from 1 species
CCUACGGGGGGCUGCAGUGGGGAAUAUUGGACAAUGGGCGAAAGCCUGAUCCAGCCAUGCCGCGUGUGUGAAGAAGGCCUUCGGGUUGUAAAGCACUUUCAGUGGGGAAGAAAGCCUUGGGGCUAAUACCCUCGAGGAAGGACAUCACCCACAGAAGAAGCACCGGCUAACUCCGUGCCAGCAGCCGCGGUAAUACGGAGGGUGCGAGCGUUAAUCGGAAUUACUGGGCGUAAAGCGCGCGUAGGCGGUCUGGUAAGACGGUUGUGAAAGCCCCGGGCUCAACCUGGGAACGGCAUCCGGAACUGUCAGGCUAGAGUGCAGGAGAGGAAGGUAGAAUUCCCGGUGUAGCGGUGAAAUGCGUAGAGAUCGGGAGGAAUACCAGUGGCGAAGGCGGACUUCUGGACUGACACUGACGCUGAGGUGCGAAAGCGUGGGUAGCAAACAGGAUUAGAUACCCUGGUAGUC